ensembl:lncRNA
CCUGUGCUGCUUGAAGGACAGCAAAAUGUCCUGACCUACAGGUUCAGCCAGGACCACUUGGAGCUUCUCUUCAAUUCCAUCAGAGCAUCUGAGGCAAUGUGAUGACACAGGGUGACACAGAGUCCCUACCAGCUGUCAUCGACACCUCUACAAGCCUGUCAGCUGUAGAUGUGUCCUCUGCAGCAGGAGGAGAAGAUCUUCCAUCCCCGUUUGCUGACAUUCCUGCCCUAGUACAUGAUCACAGCUACCUUCCCGUCCACUUCGAUGGUCUUGUGGACAACGCUCUCAUGUACAUUUCAGGCUCUGAAGAAGCUGUCGUGUGAUGUCUGCCAUGCCAGCCUGGUGACAGAUGCUGCAUCUGCCAUCAAGGACCAGAGCUACCACCUGCUGACUUUAAAAAACAAUGGAGGUCUGGUGAUUCCAUCAGAGGCAACCGUAAGGGUCGUCAGGGCAGCAGAGUGGGUCAUUCGGCAGUCAUCAGGCAGUACCAGACAAUCACAGCCCAUCAAACUGCUUGAGGUUGUUUACAUUGUCCGAAAAAGGAUCGGUUCAGAGGAUGUUUGUGUUGGGAUAGACAGUAUGGGAUAGACAUCUACCACCAUAGGCUGUUAAAAAUCAUUCUGUCCCUGUUUUUUAAGUUAAGGCUGCACCACAUCGCCAGAAUUACAAUCCUCAGCUUACAGAGCAACAACAUGCAACAGAAACCUAAUAAAACUGUCCUUUUCAAAGGGCAUUAGCCCAAGGUAUGUGUUUUCAAGGUACUGUCCUCUUUUACUUCAACAGUAGUGUAGUUCUCUC